UUGUUAGCCAGAGCAGGCUGUUGCCCAGGGCCUGAGGCUGAUUUUGAUAAAGUUGCCGUUAUGGCUAUAUCUUCCUGGGUUGUGCAGAGCAUGAGACUCUACACAGCUUGGUGCUUUAAACUUUCAACCCAACCACAUCAACCAACCAGCCAACAGAUUACUGUAUUCUGCCUUGUGAACUGAACAUACAAGCAACGCCAGAGUCAACAAUGCUAGCUGUCCACCUUGAAGCUUUUUGUUCCUUUUCAUCAUGCUUUCUGCCGAUUUCCUAUGAUGAAGAUUUGUCAACAGAUGCUGAAAGGCAAACAAAUUCCCCAGGAGACCUGGCACCAUAUGCCUAAUCACAGCCACGGAGCCAAACUUUAGACCUGCCGACACCACCAGGCCUGGCUUUUGUCUUUGGCGGCAACUAUGAAAAGCAGCUCUCCAAUGUUUGCUCAGAACUCCCUCUUCCCAGGCAGCUGGGCAACGUUGUUCCCCACACAUGACAAAGCGGACAACCUAGGCCAAUUAUGGGAGUCUAAAAUGUAAACAUGGAGACUUUUCAUCCAAAAGAAGCUGCUACAGAAAUGGGAGAUGAGGCUGCCAACAGAUAGAGCACCACUCUAAGUGGGGUAUAAUGUCAGUUCAAGUUGAGAGGCUACAAAAGUCAAACAGCAGUUCGAUGGUACUAUAACUGUACUUAAGAGACUUGACUUUUCUAUACUGCCUGAGAGGCCAAAAGCAGCAUUAAUUAUCUAAUUUAGAAGAGAGAGAGAGAGGCUAUUUAUUUCUGAAGGAAGCCUAAGAGUGGAAGGAAGUUAAUAGGGACAUUAUUAGGAGUGCCAUUUCAAUUUUCGUCGUAGGGAUGGAGAGAUCUUUGUGUGAGGGUGGGAAUCCACGUUUAGAUAUAAUGAAAAUUAAAAAUGUAUUUGAAAAGCA